rnacentral:misc_RNA from 1 species
AACCUUUGCUGUCUUGGGACGGAUCACCGCUGCAAGAGGGGAAGUUGCUACUGUGAUGAAUUCUGCCAUGUGGCACCAGACUGCCACCCAGACCACAGUGUCCUCUGCAACCCUGGUAACUCACAUACAGGCCCGAUUCCACCUACAGCAAAGCUGGAUGCGAUGGCUGGCAGAGGCAAACCCUUUGCCUGCACUUCAGGCCAAAGCCGGGAUGUGGCCUAGAUGGUUCCUAAGCUUCUCAGAUGACCAAGAUGGUGCUGCAGAUGGUGCUGAGGAUGGAGAACCCACCAAGCCCCGCUAGGAGCCACCUAGACUGGAUGCAGAGCAUGGUUCAGCGAGUUCUCCAAACCAGCCUCCCAGGAAUGCCAUUCACCAUGGCUGUGAGGAGAAUAAAGAAGAGAGCCUGACUCCUCUCCUGAGGCCCCUUCCCCACCCUGAGCCAGCAGGAUCCACGGAGCAGAGGUCAUCUGUCCCCAGCUUGGCCCACUGAGGCCAGCAUGGCU